GAAGCCCUCAAUACAAUGUUCCGAAUCAU
rnacentral:sRNA from 1 species